UCAGACUUCAGUGCAUCAGACUUGGAGCAGUACCUGAAAGGCAGGAAUCGGAGUCGAUUCUUUGGGUAUUUUGGCGCAGGAUCUCCCGUGAGGCUUCCAUCACAAUGUCUGCUGCAGUCCUCUCAUGGUUCCAAGCUCGGUCAUGGCAGCCUCUCCACAACAUGGCAGCAAGCUUCUCCUAGAAUAAGCCAGCCAAGAGUGUGAGACCAAGAACACUGAGGUGAAAACUAGUCUCUUUAUAACUUAAUCUCAGAAGGGAGAGCCCAUCGAGUAUGUUCUACUCUGUUCUUUAGAAGUGAAGUACUAAACCCCGCUCACACCCAAGGGGAGGGGACUUUACAAGGCAUAAAUACCGGGAGGAAGGGCUCAUCGGGGGCCAUACUAGUGUCUGCUUACCAUAGCUGAGUAAAUGGAAAGAUUAUUUAAGCCAAAUACGUGGUCCAUCUAAAGGGCUCGGGUUCGUUUGGAGAAAAUUAGUUGAAUAAAAUUGUGUUCUUGGUAAAAAGAUUUCCUGACGAUUUCUUAAAAUCAAUAUUUACUGUGUUUCAAGUUCUACAGAGAAUAUAGGGGUGCUUAAGAGAGUGAAGUCUCCUUAGAGGAGCUCAUUUUGUUUAUCUUUUCUUAUUUAGGAAAUGCCCUUCCU
rnacentral:lncRNA from 1 species